UACGGAGGGUGCAAGCGUUAUCCGGAUUCACUGGGUUUAAAGGGUGCGUAGGAGGGCAGGUAAGUCAGUGGUGAAAUCUCCGAGCUUAACUCGGAAACUGCCGUUGAUACUAUCUGUCUUGAAUACCGUGGAGGUGAGCGGAAUAUGUCAUGUAGCGGUGAAAUGCUUAGAUAUGACAUAGAACACCAAUUGCGAAGGCAGCUCACUACACAAUCAUUGACGCUGAGGCACGAAAGCGUGGGGAUCAAACAGG
rnacentral:rRNA from 1 species